UACGUAGGGCGCAAGCGUUGUCCGGAAUUAUUGGGCGUAAAGAGCUCGUAGGCGGUUUGUCGCGUCUGCUGUGAAAACCUAAGGCUCAACCUUGGGCUUGCAGUGGGUACGGGCAGACUAGAGUGUGGUAGGGGAGACUGGAAUUCCUGGUGUAGCGGUGAAAUGCGCAGAUAUCAGGAGGAACACCGAGUGGCGAAGGCAGGUC
rnacentral:rRNA from 1 species